rnacentral:rRNA from 1 species
UAGGGAAUCUUCGGCAAUGGACGCAAGUCUGACCGAGCAACGCCGCGUGAGUGAAGACGGUUUUCGGAUCGUAAAGCUCUGUUGUAGGGGAAGAACGUGUGUAAGAGUGGAAAGCUUACACAGUGACGGUACCCUACCAGAAAGGGACGGCUAACUACGUGCCAGCAGCCGCGGUAAUACGUAGGUCCCGAGCGUUGUCCGGAUUUAUUGGGCGUAAAGGGAGCGCAGGCGGUUUAGUAAGUCUGAAGUUAAAGGCAUUGGCUCAACCAAUGUAUGCUUUGGAAACUGUUAGACUUGAGUGCAGAAGGGGAGAGUGGAAUUCCAUGUGUAGCGGUGAAAUGCGUAGAUAUAUGGAGGAACACCGGUGGCGAAAGCGGCUCUCUGGUCUGUCACUGACGCUGAGGCUCGAAAGCGUGGGUAGCGAACAGGAUUAGAUACCCUGGUAGUCCACGCCGUAACGCUGAGUGCUAGGUGUUAGGUCCUUUCCGGGACUUAGUGCCGACGCUAACGCAUUAAGCACUCCGCCUGGGGAGUACGACCGCAAGGUU